UACGUAGGGUGCAAGCGUUGUCCGGAAUUAUUGGGCGUAAAGAGCUUGUAGGCGGUUUGUCGCGUCUGCUGUGAAAUUUCGGGGCUCAACCCCGAACUUGCAGUGGGUACGGGCAGACUAGAGUGUGGUAGGGGAGACUGGAAUUCCUGGUGUAGCGGUGAAAUGCGCAGAUAUCAGGAGGAACACCGAUGGCGGAGGCAGGUCUCUGGGCCAUAACUGACGCUGAGAAGCGAAAGCAUGGGGAGCGAACAGG
rnacentral:rRNA from 1 species